GCGGGAGUAACUCAGCUGGAAGAGUCCCUGCCUUCCAAGCAGGUUGUCGCGGGUUCGAAUCCCGUCUCCCGCUCCA
rnacentral:tRNA from 1 species